UGAGUUGUAUUGUUUUAUUUUUAAUUUUUCUAAUCUGUCUUAUUUAUUUAUGCUCUGGUAUUUAUUAUGUUCUUCUGCUAAAUUUAAACUUAGUUCACUCUUUUUGUAGUUCCUUGAGGUGUAAAGUUACAUUGUAUCUGAGGUCUUUCUUUUUUCUUAAUGUAGGCAUUUAUCACUACAAACUGCCUUGUUGGAUUUGCUUUUGCUGCAACCCAUAAUACUGAAAACCAGUCAAGAUUAGAACAAAAGAACUUCUGGAUGGAGACCUGCGUAAACAAACAAACAAACUGAUGCAUCUGGCUAUGUGAAAAAUGGAAUGAAAAUGAAGUGGUUUUUUUCAUAUCUAUCAUUAUAUUUGGAGAAAAUUGUGCAUCUAUUUUAUACUGGUACAUAGUAAGCUAAGCAGAUAAAAGAAUGAAGUAAUAAUAAAGAAAAACAAAAUUUGUAUAAAAAGAAACUAUUUUAGUACUCUACCUGCCUAAUAGUGAGGAACAUUUACAUAGACAUUAUAAUACAAAUGUAAAAUAUUUAUUUAACAAACAUAGUGAUAUUAAAUUGAUAAUAUCAAUUAUUACAUGGAUAAAUUGUAAUAAAAGGGUGUAAGGUAUGGAAGAGAAGUAGGGAGAACAGAAAAAUUCUCAUCUGCAAUAACAUGAAGGCAAGACAUUAUAUCUAAAAUAGGUAAAUAUAAAGAUGAGUAUAGACAUAGUAGUUACAAAUAUGAAGAUAGAUUUCAGAAGAGAAAGCUAAGAAACAGUACUGGGACAUGAGUAAGGGUAUAGCUUGGGACUACAUUUUUCCUUGAUAAGCCUCAUAGUACUACUUAACCUUUUAAACUAUGCAUUUAUUGUUUUUAUAAAAAUAAAAAUAAAUUUUAGAUAGACUAAAAUUAUCACUAAUCUCCACUACUGUAAUGUCAAUGGGAAACUUCCUAAUGUACCUUCUUUGUUGGGUCACAAUACCUACUAAUAAUUCUUUCAUGAUUUAUAAGAUAGAGAUCCCUAGUGUCUUAGACACUUGUAUCAGUUAGCUAUUGCUAGGUAACAAACUUCACCCAAAAUUUAGUGGCAUAAAGCAAUGAGCAUCUAUUAUUGCUCACAAGUCGAUGGGUCAGCUGGAUACUUUUCAUUUCCUUAGGGCUCACUCAUCUAUCUGAUAUCAGUUGUGGGUCAGUGAGGCAUCUCUGCUGCUGUUGGCAAGGUUCUCUCACAUGUUUGGAGACUGCUGGUUCUUCGGUGCUCUAGGAUGGAAUUGGCUAGAACAACCAUGUGGCUCUCUGCCAUAUGGUCUCUUAUCCUCCAACAUGUUGGCUGGACUUGUUCACCUGGCAGCUUUCCAUAUAGUGAAAAAGGGUUCAAAGACUCUCAAGUCUAGGCUGAAGACUGGCAGUUCAUUACUUCUGCCUCAUCCUGUCAGUCGGUGCAAUUAGUAGGCAAACCCGGAUUUGAGGAGUAAGGGAAUAGAUGCCAUCUGUUCAUGAGAGGAGCUGUAGUCAUGUUGAAAUGGGUAUGGAUAUGGGAAAGGAAAGAGUAUUGUGACCAUUUUUGCACUUAGUCUCCUUUACCACUCAAAGAAAGUUCCACUUCCCUUCCUCCAUGGGUUUUCCCAAGUUCAUAUACAUACAUGCCUCUAUGUCCUUGCUUUAACCAAAAGGCUUUUCCUACCUUCUACAUGACAUUCAAAACUCCUUCCAUCCAUUCAGACUAUAAAUCAAGUUUCUUUUCUCCUUUUAAGCCUUUCCUGGCCUUUCUAAGCCUUUUAUGAUCUCCUAUGUUGUCAGUCUCAUUCACUUGCCAUUUGAUAAUUUAUUGCUACCACGGAGAUAUCUUAGCCUUGAACUAGGCCAUACCUUCCUUAAUGACAGGAAUUGUGUCUUAUGAUGUUUUGAAAAAUACUACCAUAUGCCCAUAAGACUGUCCAUAAAGAAGGAAUGAAUGAGUGGACAAACAGACUACCUCCUCUAAUUUGCGACAAACUGUCUGCCUAUAUAAAACUGGAAGAGCAGAGAAUUGGAGGCUAUAAA